UUCGAAGCAACGCGAAGAACCUUACCAGGCCUGACAUGCAGAGAACUUUCCAGAGAUGGAUUGGUGCCUUCGGGAACUCUGACACAGGUGCUGCAUGGCUGUCGUCAGCUCGUGUCGUGAGAUGUUGGGUUAAGUCCCGCAACGAGCGCAACCCUUGCCUUUAGUUGCCAGCAGUUCGGCUGGGCACUCUAAAGGGACUGCCGGUGUUAAACCGGAGGAAGGUGGGGAUGACGUCAAGUCCUCAUGGCCUUUAUGACCAGGGCUACACACGUACUACAAUGGCCGAUACAAAGGGCAGCGACACUGCGAGGUGAAGCCAAUCCCGUAAAAUCGGUCUCAGUCCGGAUUGGAGUCUGCAACUCGACUCCAUGAAGUUGGAAUCGCUAGUAAUCGUGGAUCAGCAUGCCACGGUGAAUACGUUCCCGGGCCUU
rnacentral:rRNA from 1 species